rnacentral:lncRNA from 10 species
CCCUGGCCAGAACUUCCAAUACUAUGCUGAAUAGGAGUGGUGAGAGAGGGCAUCCUUGUCUUGUGCAGGUUUUCAAAGGGAAUGUUUCCAGCUUUUGCCCAUUCAGUAUAAUACUGUCUAUGGGUUUGUCAUAACUAGCUCUUAUUAUUUUGAGCUAUGUUCCAUCAAUACCUAGCUUAUUGAGAGUUUGAGCAUGAAUGGGGUGUUGAAUUUUAUUGAAGGCCUUUUCUGCAUCUAUUGAGUUACAUUUACCUGAAUUCUUCAUUUCUGCAUAUGGCUUCAAGUUACUAUCCAGUGUUUCUUCAUUUCAGCCUGAAGGAUUAUAGGUGCUGGGCUUCGUUGCUGUUUCUGGCAGAGUCCUGCUUCUCGCGCCCGCUGCACUGGGUUUGGCGUCUCUGCUGUUCGCUGAGAUCUGCACACUCCAGGAGCCAUAGGGAGGACGCCAGGACAGCCCCGAAGACGAGAAUGCCUCGCUCCUCCUAGGACGGGAGGAAAAUCCCACAAAUCCUGUCUACUCCAAGCAGCCGCGCCCCUCGGGAGACCACCCCAGUUGGAGGGGCCCACUCCAGCCACCGCUACACCGGGACGCGCUCCUCCUCCCCCUGUGCCCGCCCCUUCUCGUGAGGGACCACCAGGAGGCCCCUCGAUUCCCCAGCAAAACACAGGUUUUGGAGCCAGAGUUUCUGAGUUUGAAUGUUUGGUCUGCUACUGACCAACUCUAUGGGCUUGGG